rnacentral:rRNA from 1 species
UACAGAGGUGGCAAGCGUUGUUCGGAAUUACUGGGCGUAAAGCGCGCGUAGGCGGCUGGGUAAGUCGAUUGUGAAAGCCCCGGGCUCAACCUGGGAAUUGCAGUCGAGACUGCUCGGCUAGAGUGUGGGAGAGGGUGGUGGAAUUCCCGGUGUAGCGGUGAAAUGCGUAGAUAUCGGGAGGAACAUCAGUGGCGAAGGCGACCACCUGGCCCAACACUGACGCUGAGGUGCGAAAGCGUGGGUAGCAAACAGG